GGAUAUGAGCUCUCAUCGCAUGGUGGGGGUUGGAAAGAUUUUUCGGUCUGGGAUGGGCUCGCGGCCUAUCAGCUUGUUGGUGAGGUAAUGGCUCACCAAGGCGUCGACGGGUAGCCGGCCUGAGAGGGUGACCGGCCACACUGGGACUGAGACACGGCCCAGACUCCUACGGGAGGCAGCAGUGGGGAAUAUUGCACAAUGGGCGGAAGCCUGAUGCAGCAACGCCGCGUGAGGGAUGACGGCCUUCGGGUUGUAAACCUCUUUUAGCAGGGAAGAAGCGAGAGUGACGGUACCUGCAGAAAAAGCGCCGGCUAACUACGUGCCAGCAGCCGCGGUAAUACGUAGGGCGCAAGCGUUAUCCGGAAUUAUUGGGCGUAAAGAGCUCGUAGGCGGUUUGUCGCGUCUGCUGUGAAAUCCCGAGGCUCAACCUCGGGCCUGCAGUGGGUACGGGCAGACUAGAGUGCGGUAGGGGAGAUUGGAAUUCCUGGUGUAGCGGUGGAAUGCGCAGAUAUCAGGAGGAACACCGAUGGCGAAGGCAGAUCUCUGGGCCGUAACUGACGCUGAGGAGCGAAAGGGUGGGGAGCAAACAGGCUUAGAUACCCUGGUAGUCCACCCCGU
rnacentral:rRNA from 1 species